UCUAGUAUAGCAUUAUACCGUGAAACUGCGAAUGGCUCAUUAAAUCAGUUAUCGUUUAUUUGAUAGUACCUUACUACUUGGAUAACCGUGGUAAUUCUAGAGCUAAUACAUGCUAAAAACCCCAACUUCGGGAGGGGUGUAUUUAUUAGAUAAAAAACCAAUGCCCUUCGGGGCUCCUUGGUGAUUCAUAAUAACUUCUCAGAUCGCAUGGCUUUACGCCGGCGACGGUUCAUUCAAAUUUCUGCCCUAUCAACUUUCGAUGGUAAGGUAGUGGCUUACCAUGGUUUCAACGGGUAACGGGGAAUUAGGGUUCGAUUCCGGAGAGGGGGCCGGAGGAACGGCCACCACAUCCAAGGAAGGCAGCAGGCGCGCAAAUUACACAAUUCCGAUACGGAGAUGUAGUGACAAUAAAUACUGAUACAGGGCUCUUUUGGGUCUUGUAAUUGGAAUGAGUACAAUUUAAACCUCUUAACGAGGAACAAUUGGAGGGCAAGUCUGGUGCCAGCAGCCGCGGUAAUUCCAGCUCCAAUAGCGUAUAUUAAAGUUGUUGCAGUUAAAAAGCUCGUAGUUGAACCUUUGGCCUGGCUGGCAGGUCCGCCUCACCGCGUGCACUUGUCCGGCCGGGCCUUUUCUUCUGGAGAACCGCAUGCCCUUCACUGGGUGUGUUGGGGACCAGGACUUUUACUUUGAAAAAAUUAGAGUGUUCAAAGCAGGCCUUUGCUCGAAUACGUUAGCAUGGAAUAAUAGAAUAGGACGUGCGGUCCUAUUUUGUUGGUUUCUAGGACCGCCGUAAUGAUUAAUAGGGACAGUCGGGGGCAUCAGUAUUCAAUUGUCAGAGGUGAAAUUCUUGGAUUUAUUGAAGACUAACUACUGCGAAAGCAUUUGCCAAGGAUGUUUUCAUUAAUCAGUGAACGAAAGUUAGGGGAUCGAAGACGAUCAGAUACCGUCGUAGUCUUAACCAUAAACUAUGCCGACUAGGGAUCGGGCGGUGUUUCUAUUGUGACUCGCUCGGCACCUUACGAGAAAUCAAAGUGUUUGGGUU
rnacentral:rRNA from 1 species